UGAAGAAGGCCUUCGGGUUGUAAAGCACUUUCAGUCGUGAGGAAGGUAGUGUAGUUAAUAGCUGCAUUAUUUGACGUUAGCGACAGAAGAAGCACCGGCUAACUCCGUGCCAGCAGCCGCGGUAAUACGGAGGGUGCGAGCGUUAAUCGGAAUUACUGGGCGUAAAGCGCAUGCAGGUGGUUUGUUAAGUCAGAUGUGAAAGCCCGGGGCUCAACCUCGGAAUUGCAUUUGAAACUGGCAGACUAGAGUACUGUAGAGGGGGGUAGAAUUUCAGGUGUAGCGGUGAAAUGCGUAGAGAUCUGAAGGAAUACCGGUGGCGAAGGCGGCCCCCUGGACAGAUACUGACACUCAGAUGCGAAAGCGUGGGGAGCAAACAGGAUUAGAUACCCUGGUAGUCCACGCCGUAAACGAUGUCUACUUGGAGGUUGUGGCCUUGAGCCGUGGCUUUCGGAGCUAACGCGUUAAGUAGACCGCCUGGGGAGUACGGUCGCAAGAUUAAAACUCAAAUGAAUUGACGGGGGCCCGCACAAGCGGUGGAGCAUGUGGUUUAAUUCGAUGCAACGCGAAGAACCUUACCUACUCUUGACAUCCAGAGAACUUUCCAGAGAUGGAUUGGUGCCUUCGGGAACUUUGAGACAGGUGCUGCAUGGCUGUCGUCAGCUCGUGUUGUGAAAUGUUGGGUUAAGUCCCGCAACGAGCGCAACCCUUAUCCUUGUUUGCCAGCGAGUAAUGUCGGGAACUCCAGGGAGACUGCCGGUGAUAAACCGGAGGAAGGUGGGGACGACGUCAAGUCAUCAUGGCCCUUACGAGUAGGGCUACACACGUGCUACAAUGGCGCAUACAGAGGGCGGCCAACUUGCGAGAGUGAGCGAAUCCCAAAAAGUGCGUCGUAGUCCGGAUUGGAGUCUGCAACUCGACUCCAUGAAGUCGGAAUCGCUAGUAAUCGUGGAUCAGAAUGCCACGGUGAAUACGUUCCCGGGCCUUGUACACACCGCCCGUCACACCAUGGGAGUGGGCUGCAAAAGAAGUAGGUAGUUUAACCUUCGGGAGGACGCUUACCACCUUUGGUACA
rnacentral:rRNA from 1 species